AGGGUCCCUGAGGGUGGGGAGUGAGCAGCCUGCCUGGCAGCCGGAGCAGAGAGCUGAGAGAGCACAUCUCCAUCUACGCGCAGGUGGCCAAGAGUAAACCGGAAGUAUAAACCCUCAAAGCUGCCUCCGGUGACAUGCUUUCUCCAGCAAGGCUCCAAACAGAGCCACCAAAGGGGGAACCAAGUGUUCAUAUACCUGAGCCUUUGGGGGACAUUUUCUAUUUAAACCAGGUGUCCCUCCCAGAUGCACAGAAGUUGAGGUAUCCUCAUCUACCUGUGUGCUCCCUUGACAAAGGUCUGUCUCAACAGGACAAGAGGAUAACUAACAGCUGGCACGAGCCGGAAAUGGACUGCCUUUGCCUGGUUUGGUUAUAGAUCUGGGAAGUGUUCCCUUCUGGAUUCUGCGACGGGAAGCGUUGUGUAGCUCUGCUGUUCUUUAAAAGCCUAGGAUACGCCAGUGAAGCUCUGGAAACCACGGGGCUUUCUUUUGGGGGGAUUUUUAAAUUAUGGAUUUACUUUUUAAAUAGUUACUAAGCUACUCAGGUAACCUAGCUCACGUGGUCAUUUCUGAUUGGAGAAGAUCGGUGUUGGCGUGCUCAUCUCGGAGGGCGACUUGCCACAGGCAGAGCUGAGCUCAGGGAGGAGCCGGUGCUUUUCUCCCAGGGGACAGCACCGUGCCAGCUUUGCUAAGCUCCACUUGACAGCUGUCCCUUCCUGACCCUCCAGUUUCACCACAGGGCUCCGUCUCCUGCCCACUGUUUCCUUGCCUUGUGAGCAGGUUCUCAUGGCUCUCCUGGCAUCCGGAGGCUCCUCCCCAGGUCAGGAGCAAACUCCUGUAGUUUACCAACCUUCCACAUGACUGCUGUGCGCUAACGCUGGGCACCUCUGUUGUAAGAGGUUAUUUCAUCAAAGGGAUAAAGCUUAGCUAGCAACCUUUCCCAAAGUGUCCCCUGUUUAACAAAGGCCACUUUUGAUCCGGGGAGGCCUUGGCGAGGUGGGGAAAGACCUAUACUGCGGUCUGGAAAGAUUGUGUGCUUGUGUCUGAAUUGGACCGUCCCAUCUUGAAUACAUCACUCUGUUGAUUUUCAGCACAUUAGACUUUUGUUUUUAUAAAAUGGAUACUUUUCCUACUUCGUGAAGUGUAAUCAGACCAUAGAAAUUAUUGUUAUAAAGUAUAAUAAUCAUGA